rnacentral:snoRNA from 2 species
AAGCCUAUGAAGAUUAGAUUUACAUAUAGAAUUAUCGUCAGAUUUACUUGUGAUGACAAUUGUCUGGCUUCCUGAGGCUUAAC